rnacentral:rRNA from 1 species
GCCUACGGGGGGCAGCAGUAGGGAAUUUUCGUCAAUGGGCGCAAGCCUGAACGAGCAAUGCCGCGUGAACGAGGAAGGUCUUCGGAUCGUAAAGUUCUGUUGAAGGGGAAAAAGAACGGAGAGAGGAAAUGGUCUCCGAUUGAUAUUACCCUUCGAGGAAGUCACGGCUAACUACGUGCCAGCAGCCGCGGUAAUACGUAGGUGGCGAGCGUUAUCCGGAAUGAUUGGGCGUAAAGGGUGCGUAGGCGGCCUGCUAAGUCUGGAGUGAAAGGUACCGGCUCAACCGGUACAGGCUCUGGAAACUG